rnacentral:rRNA from 1 species
UACAGAGGUCCCAAGCGUUGUUCGGAUUCACUGGGCGUAAAGGGUGCGUAGGCGGUCGGGUAAGUCUGAUGUGAAAUCUCACAGCUUAACUGUGAAACUGCAUCGGAUACUAUCCGGCUUGAGGAAUGGAGGGGAGACUGGAAUACUUGGUGUAGCAGUGAAAUGCGUAGAUAUCAAGUGGAACACCAGUGGCGAAGGCGAGUCUCUGGACAUUUCCUGACGCUGAGGCACGAAAGCCAGGGGAGCAAACGGG